UACCAUAGGUUUAAAGGUGACUUGACGGU
rnacentral:sRNA from 1 species